rnacentral:rRNA from 1 species
UACGUAGGGUGCAAGCGUUAAUCGGAAUUACUGGGCGUAAAGCGUGCGCAGGCGGUUGUGCAAGACCGAUGUGAAAUCCCCGGGCUUAACCUGGGAAUGGCAUUGGUGACUGCACGGCUAGAGUGUGUCAGAGGGGGGUAGAAUUCCACGUGUAGCAGUGAAAUGCGUAGAGAUGUGGAGGAAUACCGAUGGCGAAGGCAGCCCCCUGGGAUAACACUGACGCUCAUGCACGAAAGCAUGGGGAGCAACCAGG